UACAGAGGGUGCAAGCGUUAAUCGGAGUUACUGGGCGUAAAGGGCGCGUAGGCGGUUAUAUUUGUGUGAUGUGAAAGCCCCGGGCUCAACCUGGGAAUUGCAUUCGAGACUGCGUAGCUAGGGUGCGGAAGAGGGAAGCGGAAUUUCCGGUGUAGCGGUGAAAUGCGUAGAUAUCGGAAGGAACACCAGUGGCGAAAGCGGCUUCCUGGUCCAGCACCGACGUCAGGCACGAAAGCGUGGGGAGCAAACAGG
rnacentral:rRNA from 1 species